GUCUGCAGCCAUACCCCUCCACCCCUGAGUGCACCUGCUCUAGUCUGAUUUCUGAAGCUAAGUGGGGUCAGGUCUGAUUUGUACAUGGAUGGGAGACUUUUCUGACAUUAGUGAUUUCAUACA
rnacentral:rRNA from 1 species